rnacentral:rRNA from 1 species
CAAAGAUGAACCCAUGCAUGUGUAAGUAUAAAUAAUUUUACUUUGAAACUGCGAAUGGCUCAUUAUAUCAGUUAUAGUUUAUUAGAAAUAUUUUACUACUUGGAUAACCGUAGUAAUUCUAGGGCUAAUACAUGAGUAAAACCUCAACUUCGGAAGAGGUGUGUUUAUUAGUAUGAAAACCAUAUAUCUUCGGAUAUAAUAGUGAGUAAUAAUAACCUUUCAUAUCGUAUGUCGUAAGAUAACGAUAGUUCUUUCAAGUUUCUGCCCUAUCAGCUUUCGAUGGUAGUAUAUGGGACUACCAUGGCAGUAACGGGUAACGAAGAAUUUGGGUUCGAUUUCGGAGAGGGAGCCUGAGAGAUGGCUACCACAUCCAAGGAAGGCAGCAGGCGCGUAAAUUACCCAAUCCUGACAUAGGGAGGUAGUGACAAUAAAUCACAAUGCGGAACUUUUAGUUUUGCAAUUGGAUUGAGAACAAUGUACAAAUGUUAUCGAUAAACAAUUGGAGGGCAAGUCUGGUGCCAGCAGCCGCGGUAAUUCCAGCUCC